rnacentral:rRNA from 1 species
AACGUACCAUUCAGUGGGGGAUAACGUAGCGAAAGUUACGCUAAUACCGCAUAUUCUGUGCGCAGGAAAGCAGGGGAUCGCAAGACCUUGCGCUGAUUGAGCGGCCGAUAUCAGAUUAGCUAGUUGGUGAGGUAAAAGCUCACCAAGGCGACGAUCUGUAGCGGGUCUGAGAGGAUGAUCCGCCACACUGGAACUGAGACACGGUCCAGACUCCUACGGGAGGCAGCAGUGGGGAAUUUUGGACAAUGGGGGCAACCCUGAUCCAGCCAUGCCGCGUGAGUGAAGAAGGCCUUCGGGUUGUAAAGCUCUUUCAGCCGGGAAGAAAAUGCAUGGGUUAAUACCCUGUGCAGAUGACGGUACCGGAAUAAGAAGCACCGGCUAACUACGUGCCAGCAGCCGCGGUAAUACGUAGGGUGCGAGCGUUAAUCGGAAUUACUGGGCGUAAAGCGUGCGCAGGCGGUUUUGUAAGACAGGCGUGAAAUCCCCGGGCUUAACCUGGGAACUGCGUUUGUGACUGCAAGGCUAGAGUACGGCAGAGGGGGGUGGAAUUCCACGUGUAGCAGUGAAAUGCGUAGAGAUGUGGAGGAACACCAAUGGCGAAGGCAGCCCCCUGGGUCGAUACUGACGCUCAUGCACGAAAGCGUGGGUAGCAAACAGGAUUAGAUACCCUGGUAGUCCACGCCCUAAACGAUGUCAACUAGGUGUUGGGAGGGUAAAACCUUUUAGUACCGUAGCUAACGCGAGAAGUUGACCGCCUGGGGAGUACGGCCGCAAGGUUAAAACUCAAAGGAAUUGACGGGGACCCGCACAAGCGGUGGAUGAUGUGGAUUAAUUCGAUGCAACGCGAAAAACCUUACCUACCCUUGACAUGUCAGGAACUUGCCAGAGAUGGCUUGGUGCCCGAAAGGGAACCUGAACACAGGUGCUGCAUGGCUGUCGUCAGCUCGUGUCGUGAGAUGUUGGGUUAAGUCCCGCAACGAGCGCAACCCUUGUCGUUAAUUGCCAUCAUUCAGUUGGCCACUUUAACGAGACUGCCGGUGACAAACCGGAGGAAGGUGGGGAUGACGUCAAGUCCUCAUGGCCCUUAUGGGUAGGGCUUCACACGUCAUACAAUGGUCGGUACAAAGGGUCGCCAACCCGCGAGGGGGAGCCAAUCCCAUAAAGCCGAUCGUAGUCCGGAUUGUAGGCUGCAACUCGCCUGCAUGAAGUCGGAAUCGCUAGUAAUCGUGGAUCAGCAUGUCACGGUGAAUACGUUCCCGGGUCUUGUACACACCGCCCGUCACACCAUGGGAGCGGGUUCCGCCAGAAGUAGGUAGCCUAACCGCAAGGGGGGCGCUUACC